GGGAAGCUGCUGGGCAAGAAAUGCAAAGAGCUCCUAAUAUACAAAAGAAGCUAGGUGUUGGGUAUUUAAAGCCAGCGACAAAGGAAAGUGACUAAGACAGAUGACAAACUUGAGGCCAGCCUAGGCUACUUAGUGACACCAUGUCCAAACAAACAAACAAACAAACACCAACAAGGAUUUUAUUUAUCACUAUUAAAAAUCUGAAUUUUAAACAGACUCUUGGACUGGUGGUUCAUAUCCAUCUGUUCAUUCAACGUUAGCUCCCAUCUCAUCUGCAGUAGGGUUUCCAGAGCUGCUGCCUUCACCACGAAUCUCCAUGGGUUUCCCCAGUUCCGCCUUGGGCUUCUUCAGCAUUUUCGCUUUUCUGAUGAGGACAUUGUGAAGAGGAUAAGAACACUGGCAAGCCUCUUCUGUGUCUUUCCCAUGCUGUCUGGAAUCGAUUUAUUGACCACUUCCUUCUGGUC
rnacentral:lncRNA from 1 species